GAUGAACGCUAGCGACAGGCCAAACACAUGCAAGUCGAGGGGCAGCAUGAAAUUAGCUUGCUAAUUUUGAUGGCGACCGGCGCACGGGUGAGUAACACGUAUGCAACCUGCCUGUAAGCGGGGGAUAACCCGGAGAAAUUCGGACUAAUACCGCAUAAUAUCAUUAAUUCGCUUGUUUUAAUGAUUAAAAAUUUAUUGGUUACAGAUGGGCAUGCGUAUGAUUAGCUAGUUGGCGGGGUAACGGCCCACCAAGGCGACGAACAUUAGGGGUUCUGAGAGGAAGGUCCCCCACAUUGGAACUGAGACACGGUCCAAACGCCUACGGGAUGCAGCAGUGAGGAAUAUUGGUCAAUGGACGAGAGUCUGAACCAGCCAUGUCGCGUGAAGGAUGACUGUCCCAUGGAUUGUAAACUUCUUUUAUAUGGGGAUAAAGUGUGAGACUUGUCUCAUUUUGCAUGUACCAUAUGAAUAAGCAUCGGCUAACUCCGUGCCAGCAGCCGCAGUAACAC
rnacentral:rRNA from 1 species